rnacentral:lncRNA from 1 species
GAUGGAUCCGCCGUCGAAGACCACAGGUAAAGCCCUUCCCCUUCCCUUCCUCUUCUUCUUCUUCUUCUUCUUCUUCUUUUCUUUUCUUUUCUUUUGUUUUUUUUUUUGUAAUUGAUCUAUCCUCCCAUGUGGAUCGGGAGAAGGAAAUGCAGGAAAGAAAACAGGUGGUUAGGGGCUUACCUGGCUUCGGGGAUGAACUGCGACGCCCCUCUCCGGCGGCAUCAACGUGGGUUCAGAAAACCCUAUCGCUGAGGAAGGACGUUCGAAGCUUUUAUAGCCCCCGAAGAGUUAGAGGCCGCAACGGCCAAUAGGCCUGGCCCACUGGUCUAGCUGUAUGCGGGCCGGUUAAUGAACUGGGCUCUCACAUUCUUCCCCCCUUAAAAGAAAUUUUGUCUUCGAAAUUAACUUACUUGGAGCUUCAAACUUUGAAGGUAUGUAACCAUCAUAUCAUUCUCGAGCUCCAAAGUAGUCUCGCUCAGAGAGUGCUUACUCACAAAUUUUUUUUUUUUGGCAAAAUCACGGCAUCUCAAAACUUGACCCUUUCUACCUGUAACACAUAGGAGUUAUUUUGAUCUCUUCCAAAAGAAGACUAAUCUUUCAACCUUGGAUUUCAAAUACCAUAAUUGUUUGCCCAAGAAAUUAAUUGUUCAUGAUUAAUUCUGGACAGUAAUUAUAAUCGCUUAAUGCAAAUAGGUUAAAGCAUUAGCAUCAAAUACUUUUCAUAAUCUAUAAUCCUUUUUCUUCUCUUAACUUUACCCAUGAAUUAAUGAUCAACCUUUAUCCUAGAAAAAAACCUCAAACCCUUUCAUUUAGAUAGAUUGACAAUGUCAUAACUAGGAGUAGGGAAUGAAUAUUAAAGCAUUCUAGAUCUAAGCCCAACCAAGGAACUGUCAAUCCGUUAACACUAAAUUUAAGAUUCCCAAAAUUCUCCCAAGAAUAGUCAACUAUAAUAGAACCCAUUGGUGAAAAUUACAUAGCUACCUCCAAAUUAUCCAUAGAAUCAACAACAUUCUUCUCCACUAGAAAACUAACUCAAGUCUUCCAAUAAUUCUACUUAUCAAUACAACUUCAUCAUUAGAUUUUAUCGAAAGAAUAAGGUCCGAUACUUCCACAUUUAAUUCCUUUGGUAAGCGAUUUAAAUCAAGCUUUUCUCUUAUAAACAAAAAAAAAAACAACGUUUUAAUUCUGAAUAAAAACAUUAAGUUUCUUUGUCAAAAUAUCAACUUCUCUCAAUUAACCGAUCUAUCACAAGAUUAGAUCAUAAACAACUCUAAUCCACCCUUGAUAGAUAUUCAUCAAAGUUGAUUGACAACUGCAAUUUCUUUCAAUCAGAUAGAGGGUUGAUCUUAAUUGAAGAAAUUCAAGCUUUAGAUUUAGGAGGGAGGAGGUCUAUACCAAUAUAUUCCAAAUCCAAGAUCAAAAUUGAUGAUCCAUUAAUUCUAGUCAAAAGAUGCUAAGAAUUUCUUAACUCGACAU